rnacentral:rRNA from 1 species
UACGAAGGGGGCUAGCGUUGCUCGGAAUCACUGGGCGUAAAGCGCACGUAGGCGGCUUUCUAAGUCAGGGGUGAAAUCCUGGAGCUCAACUCCAGAACUGCCUUUGAUACUGGGAAGCUCGAGUCCGGAAGAGGUGAGUGGAACUCCGAGUGUAGAGGUGAAAUUCGUAGAUAUUCGGAAGAACACCAGUGGCGAAGGCGGCUCACUGGUCCGGUACUGACGCUGAGGUGCGAAAGCGUGGGGAGCAAACAGGG